CCGGUGGGCGCGGGCGGCGCUGCAGCCACAGUCCCCCGCGCACCGGGAUCCCCCGCGCCCCCGACGUGUCCCGGGCCACCGGAUCGCCCCGGGAUGCUUUACACACCAGAAACACCUGGUGAGGGGGCAGCUUCUGGGAGGGAGUCACGACACAGCGGCGGGGGUGGUACGGCACGGUACGGCACGGUACGGCACGGUACGGGGUCACUACGGGUGGCACAGA